rnacentral:rRNA from 1 species
GUUAGCGCGCGGACGGGAUGAGUAACACGAUAGGCAACCCUGCCCUCAAGACUGGGAUAACUACCGGAAACGGUAGCUAAUACCGGAUAAUUUAUUUUGCAGCAUUGUGGAAUAAUGAAAGGCGGAGCAAUCUGUCACUUGAGGAUGGGCCUGCGGCGCAUUAGCUAGUUGGUGGGGUAACGGCUCACCAAGGCGACGAUGCGUAGCCGACCUGAGAGGGUGAACGGCCACACUGGGACUGAGACACGGCCCAGACUCCUACGGGAGGCAGCAGUAGGGAAUCUUCCGCAAUGGGCGAAAGCCUGACGGAGCAACGCCGCGUGAGUGAUGAAGGUUUUCGGAUCGUAAAGCUCUGUUGCCAAGGAAGAACGUCUUCUAGAGUAACUGCUAGGAGAGUGACGGUACUUGAGAAGAAAGCCCCGGCUAACUACGUGCCAGCAGCCGCGGUAAUACGUAGGGGGCAAGCGUUGUCCGGAAUUAUUGGGCGUAAAGCGCGCGCAGGCGGUUCUUUAAGUCUGGUGUUUAAACCCGAGGCUCAACUUCGGGUCGCACUGGAAACUGGGGAACUUGAGUGCAGAAGAGGAGAGUGGAAUUCCACGUGUAGCGGUGAAAUGCGUAGAUAUGUGGAGGAACACCAGUG